rnacentral:rRNA from 1 species
AUUGAACGCUGGCGGCAUGCCUUACACAUGCAAGUCGAACGGCAGCACGGGAGCAAUCCUGGUGGCGAGUGGCGAACGGGUGAGUAAAGUAUCGGACCGUGCCCAGUCGUGGGGGAUAACGUCGCGAAAGUUACGCUAAUACCGCAUACGAUCUAUGGAUGAAAGCGGGGGAUCGCAAGACCUCGCGCGAUUGGAGCGGCCGAGAACGGAUUAGGUAGUUGGUGGGGUAAAGGCUCACCAAGCCGACGAUCUGUAGCUGGUCUGAGAGGACGACCAGCCACACUGGGACUGAGACACGGCCCAGACUCCUACGGGAGGCAGCAGUGGGGAAUUUUGGACAAUGGGCGAAAGCCUGAUCCAGCCAUGCCGCGUGCAGGAUGAAGGCCUUCGGGUUGUAAACUGCUUUUGUACGGAACGAAAAGGUUUGGCCUAAUAAGCUGAGCUCAUGACGGUACCGUAAGAAUAAGCACCGGCUAACUACGUGCCAGCAGCCGCCGUAA